rnacentral:rRNA from 1 species
GGCUUUUUGUUUAAAAUAUAAAGUCAGUCCUGCCCAGUGAUGUAUAAUUUAACGGCCGCAGUAAUUUGACUGUGCUAAGGUAGCAUAAUCAUUAGUUUUUUAAUUGAAAACUGGAAUGAAAGGUUUAAUGAAAAAAAUACUGUCUCUUAAUAAAUUAUUUGAAUUUAACUUUUGAGUUAAAAGGCUUAAAUUUAAUUAAAAGACGAGAAGACCCUUUAGAGUUUAAUAAUUUUUAUAAUAAUUGGUUUUGGUAUAAAUUUUUUAUUUGAAUAAAUUAUUUAAUUGGGGUGAUUAUUAAAUAUAAAUAACUUUAAUUUUAUUAUACAUUAAUUAUUGAAUAUAUGAUCCAUAAAAUUGAUUAAUAGAUAAAAUUACCUAAGGGAUAACAGCGUAAUUUUUUUGAAGAGUUCUAAUCGAUAAAAAAGAUUGCGACCUCGAUGUUGGAUUAAAAUAAAUAACUUGGCGUAGAAGCUAGUUAAUUUGGUCUGUUCGACCAUUGAAAUUUUACA